rnacentral:rRNA from 1 species
AGUGAACGCUGGCGGUAGGCCUAACACAUGCAAGUCGAACGGCAGCACAGUAAGAGCUUGCUCUUACGGGUGGCGAGUGGCGGACGGGUGAGGAAUACAUCGGAAUCUACUUUUUCGUGGGGGAUAACGUAGGGAAACUUACGCUAAUACCGCAUACGACCUACGGGUGAAAGCAGGGGAUCUUCGGACCUUGCGCGAUUGAAUGAGCCGAUGUCGGAUUAGCUAGUUGGCGGGGUAAAGGCCCACCAAGGCGACGAUCCGUAGCUGGUCUGAGAGGAUGAUCAGCCACACUGGAACUGAGACACGGUCCAGACUACUACGGGAGGCAGCAGUGGGGAAUAUUGGACAAUGGGCGCAAGCCUGAUCCAGCCAUACCGCGUGGGUGAAGAAGGCCUUCAGGUUGUAAAGCCCUUUUGUUGGGAAAGAAAAGCAGCAGGUUAAUACCCCGCUGUUCUGACGGUACCCAAAGAAUAAGCACCGGCUAACUUCGUG